GAUAGUGUGCUAAUUCUGUUUGGAUGUGGUUGGAUGCCUUGAUUCCAUCAGUGUGGCCACGUGCGGUAAGAAUACCCUUGUAGUGGGUUGCUAUAAUCUCAAAGCCAGGCUUCAAGACCUUACUGCAAGGGGAGGCGCGCUUCUCCAAAAAGCAAGCAGCUCUACGUGGGUCGAAUGUACAAAUGCUGCGCCAGGGGCUGCUUACAGCUGCAGAUGGCGCCUGGCCCCCUUUCUGUAUCCAGCCUUAGCCUGGAGUUCCAUCCUCCAUCCUCGACACGUGCUGGGUGUGGCCAAGAAGGGAAAGCCAAUCUGACUGCUGGGUGCUUAGAGGGAAGCCUCUCUGAAGGGUGAGGUGGUGAAGGGCAGAUGUGACCACUGGUGGAAGAUCCCACGGGAUUCUGGAAGUUCUAUAGGGAGGGGGUAGGCAAGAGGGAGAGAGAGAAAGAGCACUUCCCCCAGUUCCUGCCACUCAGUGCCCUGUACUCUUAGAGUACGAAGACCAUCAUCCUGAGUAUACCUUGAAAAGUCACACAUUCUCGUCAAGUAUCAUGAUGGCAACAGAGAGAGAUCAACUAGUGAAGCACAGGCCCAGGCCCUCCUUCAGGCAUCAUCUAGGGAAGAGCGUAGAGGAAGCUGUACCCCUAAACUCCGGGCAGAGCAGAAACAACGCAUUGCCGAGCAUGCUACCCUAGGGAGAAGAGGAGCCUUCCGUGUGAGCGGUUUUGCACAGGCUACCUUAGCAAAUGUAUGGGGGAAGUCUGACAGCGAAUCUGUCGGAAGUAUUUCAGACAGGUCGCCCCCAAUCCGGACAGAUUUGGGGUUUGUUUUAUUCCAAACGCGACUCAGGUUAGAGUGCAAAUAGCAGAGCUGCUUGCUUUCCAUUCUAAAACUUGUUUGAGCAGCAUGGUCAGACUGGUCGGCCCCCACACUCUUGUAAGCGCGCGGCCCCAAGCUCUGCUUCCCAGCACACUCUCGAACAGUGGCUCUCCACUGAUACUUACAUCACAUGCUACAAUGAUGUUUACAUUAGAACUCAUAACGGUAGCAAACUUACAGUUGGAAAGUAGCCAUAAAAUAAUUUUAUCAUCGCCGCGGCGGCAUGAGGAACUGUGAUAGCAUUAGGUUUGGUUUUCAGAGCCUACUAUCCGGAAACAGAAUGUGGAAAUCAGGAGAUUCAGUUAGGCUAUGGAGUAUUGAAGAUUUUCCCCAAUGUUUUUCUAACGUAUUUCGUCUCUAAAGAAAGGAACGCUUAUUCUCAGAGCCUCUUCCUUCCGAGUCUGGCAGGAGGCUCCAAGAGGAGUGAGUGAGCUGGGCGGCGAUGUCAUCUCUAUGGGGCAUGUAAUGAAUUUGCACAUUUUACUCCGACUACUGUAUAUCUAAUCAGGAAAAGAUGUCCCCCAAUCCCUGAUCUCGAGCCAAACAGUAAAAGGUGAUUCCUUAUGUUAA